AUGGCCGAGGGGGCCAGGCCCCGUCCCGCCUGGGCUCAGCGGGCAGGGCAGGAGCUGGCCCUGGGCCAUGGAGGGAGGGCUUUGGUCCCGCCGCCGCACUGGCCGGUGCCGUGUGGCUUUGGGUGUGGAGCCGUGAGCCCGGAGCUGCACCGCUCGGAGUGGACGGGUGUCUGCUGCUGCUCCGGGUGUCCCUGUGUCCGGGUGUCCCUGUGUGUGUCCCUUCAUCCACGGGUCUGUGCAUCCGGACACUUUGGCAUCCAUGUGCUCACGUGUCUGUGUGUCCUCGCACCGGUACAUCCAUCUGUCCCUGCAUCUCUGCAUCCAUACAUCCCUGCCCCUGUAUAUCCGUGUGUCCAUGCGUCCAUGCAUCCAUCCCUCCCUGCAUCCAUGUGUCCGUGCAUCCAUACACCCCUACAUCCCGAUGUCCGUGCGUCCCUGUGCCUCUGCGUUGGUGAAUCCGUACGUCCAUGUAUCCAUAUGUCCAUGUGUUUGUCCCUGCAUCCAUAUGUUUGUGUAUCCAUGUGUCUGUAUAUCCAUGUGUCUGUAUAUCCAUGUGUCUGUGUGUCCUUGCACCAGUGCAGCCAUGUAUCCAUACAUCCCUCUAACCAUGUGUCUGUGUGUCCAUACAUCCCUGGAUCCCAGUAUCCACGUAUCCGUGUGUCCGUGCGUCAGUACAUCCCUAUGGCUGUGCAUCCAUCUCUCCUUGCAUCCGUGUCUAUGUAUCCAAACAUCCCUCAUCCUUGUACCUGUGCAUCGGUCUGUCCGUGUGUCUGUGCAUCAGUGCAUCCCUGCAUCCAUGUAUCCAUACAUCCCUGUGGCUGUAUAUCCAUGUGUCCAUGCAUCAGUCCAUCCAUAUAUCCAUAUACCAGUGUGUCCAUGCGUCCAUGUGUCCGUGUGUCCAUGCAUCCAUACACUUGUCCACGUGCCCGACCAUCCGUGUGUCCAUCCAUCUGUGUGCCCGUAUCCACGCAUCCAUGUGCAUCCAUGCAUCCGUGUGUCCGUACCUGCCCCCUUGAAGGUGCCCUGGAUUCUGCACCGUGGGUGGGAUGUGACAGGGCAGGGGGUGGUGGCAGCUGGUGGCCACGUCCCCAGGGCUCGGGAUGUCCCUGCUGGGCCCCAAACCUGCCGUUUCCCAGCCCGGGAGCAGCGUCUCCGGCCGGAGCAGGGACAGGGCCGCGGGGGCUGUGCUCAACCACAACAAAAAGGGAGGAAAUAGCUGCUUUUUGGAGAAUAGACGGAAAAGUCCUGGCCCUCCAUGAGCCCGGGCGUGUGCCCGUGAGUCCCACCCUGUCAGCGUGCCCAGCCCCACCUCCGCUGCCCACACUGUCCCCGCGCUCCCCACGCAGGAUUUGGGUGGCUUUGCUGGGAUUUAGCAGCUGGGCUCUGUCACUGAGCCGGGCUGCCGUGCCCUGUCCCCCCCCGGCUGGCCACACGGAGCCCCAGAGCCACCCCAUGGCAGUGGCUUGUCCCAUCUGUCCUGUCCUGUCUGCCCCAUCCCAUCCCAUCCCAUCCCAUCUCCCAUCACAUUUGUCCCAUCAUGUCCCAUCCUGUCCCAUCCCGUCCUGUCUGCUCUGUCCCAUCCCAUCCUGUCUGUCCUGUUUCAUCCCAUCUGUCCCAUCGUGUCCCAUCCCGCCCGUGUCUGUCCUGUCCCAUCCCAUGGUAUCCCAUCCAGUCCCGUCUCAUCCCAUCAGGUCUGUCCUGUCCCAUCCCAUGCUGUCCUGUCAUGUUUGUCCCAUCCACUAUGUCCCAUCCCACCCUGUCUGUCCUACUCUGCCCUGUCCCAUCCUACCUGUCCCAUCUUGUCCCAUCAUGUACUGUCUGCACUGUCCCAUCCCGUCCUCCUCUCCUGUCCAUCCCAUCCUGUCCUGUCCCAUCCCGCCAACCUGUCCCAUGCCAACACUGUGCCAUGCCAUGCCAUGCCAUUCCAUCCCAUCCCGUCCCAUCCCCAUCCUGUCCCAUCUCUCCAUGUCUGUCCUGUCCCAUCCCUCCAUCCUGUCCCAUGCCAAUGCUGUCCCACCCCAUCCCGUCCCAUCCCAUCAUGUCUGUCCCAUCCCGCCCUUGUCCCAUCAUGUCUGUCCCAUCGCAUCCCCAUCCCAUCCUGUCCUGUCUCAUCAUGUCUGUCCUGUCCCAUCCCUCCAUCCUGUCCCAUGCCAAUGCUGUCCCUUCCCAUCCCAUCCCAUCACGUCUGUCUUGUCCCAUCUGUCCCAUCCCAUCCUGUCCCAUCAUGUCUGUCCUGUCUCAUGUUGUUCUGUGCCAUCCCAUCCCAUCCCAUCCCAUCUCAUCAUGUCUGUCCUGUCCCAUGUGUCCCACUGCAUCCUGUCCCAUCAUGUCUGUCCCAUCCUGUCCCAUCAUGUCUAUCCCAUCCCAUCCCAUCCCAUCCCAUCCCAUCCCAUCCCAUCGUGUCUGUCCUGUCCCAUUUGUCCUGUUUGUCCCAUUCCAUGCCACCCCAUGCCACACCACCCCAUGCCACGCUAUCCCAUCCUGUCUGGACCCAUCCCAUCCCAUGGGAUUUGGGGGGUGUACACAUGCAGGUGUGCAAUUGAGCCCUCCCCACUCCCACUCAGUACCCCCAGUCCACCCCCAGAGCCUCCAGUACCGCCCAGUGCCCCCCAGUACCCGCUGAGGGAUGCCCACGGGCUGGUCCCCCUCAGGCCUGACGGAGGACGAGGACGUCCAGCGGAUGCUGCGGGGCUCCCUGCUCUGGAAGAUCAAGUCCCGGGGGGGCCCCAGGGAGCGGCUCUUCCGCCUGCAGGAGGACGGGGCGACCGUCUGCUUCGAGGGGGGCUUCAGGCGCGCCCGCUCCCAGCAGAGCUGUGA
rnacentral:lncRNA from 1 species